rnacentral:rRNA from 1 species
UACGGGGGGGGCAAGCGUUGUUCGGAAUUACUGGGCGUAAAGGGCACGUAGGCGGCCAACUAAGUCAGACGUGAAAUCCCUCGGCUUAACCGGGGAACUGCGUCUGAUACUGGAUGGCUUGAGAUUGGGAGAGGGAUGCGGAAUUCCAGGUGUAGCGGUGAAAUGCGUAGAUAUCUGGAGGAACACCGGUGGCGAAGGCGACAUCCUGGACCAAUACUGACGCUGAGGAGCGAAAGCCAGGGGAGCAAACGGG